AACGCGAAGAACCUUACCUGGCCUUGACAUGUCUGGAAUCCUGUAGAGAUACGGGAGUGCCUUCGGGAAUCAGAACACAGGUGCUGCAUGGCUGUCGUCAGCUCGUGUCGUGAGAUGUUGGGUUAAGUCCCGCAACGAGCGCAACCCGUGCCGUCAGUUGCCAGCAAGUAAUGUUGGGGACUCUGGCGGGACUGCCUGUGUUAAGCAGGAGGAAGGCGCGGAUGACGUCAAGUCAGUAUGGCCCUUACGACCAGGGCUGCACACGUGCUACAAUGGGGGGUACAAUGGGACACAAUGCCGCGAGGCGGAGCAAAUCCACAAAACCUCUCUUAGUUCAGAUUGUAGUCUGCAACUCGACUACAUGAAGUUGGAAUCGCUAGUAAAGGCGUAUCAGCUACGACGCCUUGAAUACGUUCCCGGGUCUUGUACACACCG
rnacentral:rRNA from 1 species